CCUUCAACAGUACUAGGGGAACCUGUUAGGUAAUCGAUACUCCACGUUGAUCUUUACCUUCUCUUGAAAGUAUCAGCCUGUAUACCUCCGUCAUCACUCACCUUUAAGAGUUCAAUAGUGAGUAGAAAGUAGAGUCACUACUUCAUGGCAGGUCAAGGUGCAGCUUAUGAGAAGGAUCUCAAUGGGUUACAUUUCGAUAGAAGAUAAUGGAUUGACCCUGGAAACAGAGUCAUGAAAGUGGACUUAGUAGUAAGGGGUUCUUUAACAUAAACCCCUGAAAGACUCCCUAGGAGGUGCACAAAUC
rnacentral:rRNA from 1 species